rnacentral:rRNA from 1 species
CCUACGGGUGGCUGCAGCAAGGAGUUUUCCGCAAUGGGCGCAAGCCUGACGGAGCAACGCCGCGUGGGGGAUGACACCUUUCGGGGCGUAAACCCCUUUUCUUGGGGACGAAGCAGUGACGGUACCCGAGGAAGAAGGCCCGGCUAACUACGUGCCAGCAGCCGCGGUAAUACGUAGGGGCCGAGCGUUGUCCGGAGUUACUGGGCGUAAAGCGCGCGCAGGCGGCUCGUCAAGCCUGACGUGAAAGCCCCCGGCUCAACCGGGGAGGGUCGUCG